rnacentral:ncRNA from 2 species
CCAGACCAAGGGGGCAUUGAACCGCCGUCCGUAACUGGUCACUUGGACGGUGGGGAGCCAGUAGUGAAACCGACCUUCGCAGG